rnacentral:lncRNA from 1 species
ACACGGACACAACAUUGACUCUGGGGAGGUAGUUCUCGCCUCAAUUCGCUCAUGCAAAGGGCCUGGAACCCACCGGAGGGGCGUGGCGAACAUUCCCCCGGAAGCUCUGGGGUAGGGGGAUGAUGGAAACGAGGCUGGAAGGAAAAUGUUGGGGAGCUUGGUGGAGUCUGGGUUUAGGGCUAGCCCAGGAGGGAACGAGCCUGAACUUCAGGGGGACAUCGAGCGAGGCAGGUGUUCCACCCCACUUUCUUGUUUGAGGGGAGAAGGAAACCAAAGCCAGUAGAAAUGGAAUUUAUGGCCUCCGUGCUCUCAGAGGGAGAAAAAAAUUCUCACUCAUCAGCCUAAAGAGAAACCCUGUCUUAUCCCAGAUUACCACCAUGGGAUUUAAAAUUCAGUGAGAAGACUGCUUGGGAAAUACUGUCUCCGAACUGCCGGUACAGACACUGCCCAUUGGUACAAUAUUUUUAGGUCAUCUGUCAAUUGCCAUGUUUGCAUUUCUUUCAUGCAAUACAAGUUGAAAUCAUAAUGAAUUUCUUGAGUUUCAGGAAUAUCUCAAAAUAAACUUCUUCAUCCUCAACAAA